UUAAGCGACUAAGCGUACACGGUGGAUGCCCUGGCAGUCAGAGGCGAUGAAGGACGUGCUAAUCUGCGAUAAGCGUCGGUGAGGUGAUAUGAACCGUUAUAACCGGCGAUUUCCGAAUGGGGAAACCCAGUGUGUUUCGACACACUAUCAUUAACUGAAUCCAUAGGUUAAUGAGGCGAACCGGGGGAACUGAAACAUCUAAGUACCCCGAGGAAAAGAAAUCAACCGAGAUUCCCCCAGUAGCGGCGAGCGAACGGGGAGGAGCCCAGAGCCUGAAUCAGUGUGUGUGUUAGUGGAAGCGUCUGGAAAGGCGUGCGAUACAGGGUGACAGCCCCGUACACAAAAAUGCACAUAUUGUGAGCUCGAUGAGUAGGGCGGGACACGUGGUAUCCUGUCUGAAUAUGGGGGGACCAUCCUCCAAGGCUAAAUACUCCUGACUGACCGAUAGUGAACCAGUACCGUGAGGGAAAGGCGAAAAGAACCCCGGCGAGGGGAGUGAAAAAGAACCUGAAACCGUGUACGUACAAGCAGUGGGAGCCUCUUAAUGGGGUGACUGCGUACCUUUUGUAUAAUGGGUCAGCGACUUAUAUUCUGUAGCAAGGUUAACCGAAUAGGGGAGCCGAAGGGAAACCGAGUCUUAACUGGGCGUUAAGUUGCAGGGUAUAGACCCGAAACCCGGUGAUCUAGCCAUGGGCAGGUUGAAGGUUGGGUAACACUAACUGGAGGACCGAACCGACUAAUGUUGAAAAAUUAGCGGAUGACUUGUGGCUGGGGGUGAAAGGCCAAUCAAACCGGGAGAUAGCUGGUUCUCCCCGAAAGCUAUUUAGGUAGCGCCUCGUGAAUUCAUCUCCGGGGGUAGAGCACUGUUUCGGCAAGGGGGUCAUCCCGACUUACCAACCCGAUGCAAACUGCGAAUACCGGAGAAUGUUAUCACGGGAGACACACGGCGGGUGCUAACGUCCGUCGUGAAGAGGGAAACAACCCAGACCGCCAGCUAAGGUCCCAAAGUCAUGGUUAAGUGGGAAACGAUGUGGGAAGGCCCAGACAGCCAGGAUGUUGGCUUAGAAGCAGCCAUCAUUUAAAGAAAGCGUAAUAGCUCACUGGUCGAGUCGGCCUGCGCGGAAGAUGUAACGGGGCUAAACCAUGCACCGAAGCUGCGGCAGCGACACUAUGUGUUGUUGGGUAGGGGAGCGUUCUGUAAGCCUGUGAAGGUGGCCUGUGAGGGUUGCUGGAGGUAUCAGAAGUGCGAAUGCUGACAUAAGUAACGAUAAAGCGGGUGAAAAGCCCGCUCGCCGGAAGACCAAGGGUUCCUGUCCAACGUUAAUCGGGGCAGGGUGAGUCGACCCCUAAGGCGAGGCCGAAAGGCGUAGUCGAUGGGAAACAGGUUAAUAUUCCUGUACUUGGUGUUACUGCGAAGGGGGGACGGAGAAGGCUAUGUUGGCCGGGCGACGGUUGUCCCGGUUUAAGCGUGUAGGCUGGUUUUCCAGGCAAAUCCGGAAAACCAAGGCUGAGGCGUGAUGACGAGGCACUACGGUGCUGAAGCGACAAAUGCCCUGCUUCCAGGAAAAGCCUCUAAGCAUCAGGUAACAUCAAAUCGUACCCCAAACCGACACAGGUGGUCAGGUAGAGAAUACCAAGGCGCUUGAGAGAACUCGGGUGAAGGAACUAGGCAAAAUGGUGCCGUAACUUCGGGAGAAGGCACGCUGAUAUGUAGGUGAAGCGACUUGCUCGUGGAGCUGAAAUCAGUCGAAGAUACCAGCUGGCUGCAACUGUUUAUUAAAAACACAGCACUGUGCAAACACGAAAGUGGACGUAUACGGUGUGACGCCUGCCCGGUGCCGGAAGGUUAAUUGAUGGGGUUAGCGGCAACGCGAAGCUCUUGAUCGAAGCCCCGGUAAACGGCGGCCGUAACUAUAACGGUCCUAAGGUAGCGAAAUUCCUUGUCGGGUAAGUUCCGACCUGCACGAAUGGCGUAAUGAUGGCCAGGCUGUCUCCACCCGAGACUCAGUGAAAUUGAACUCGCUGUGAAGAUGCAGUGUACCCGCGGCAAGACGGAAAGACCCCGUGAACCUUUACUAUAGCUUGACACUGAACAUUGAGCCUUGAUGUGUAGGAUAGGUGGGAGGCUUUGAAGUGUGGACGCCAGUCUGCAUGGAGCCGACCUUGAAAUACCACCCUUUAAUGUUUGAUGUUCUAACGUUGGCCCGUAAUCCGGGUUGCGGACAGUGUCUGGUGGGUAGUUUGACUGGGGCGGUCUCCUCCUAAAGAGUAACGGAGGAGCACGAAGGUUGGCUAAUCCUGGUCGGACAUCAGGAGGUUAGUGCAAUGGCAUAAGCCAGCUUGACUGCGAGCGUGACGGCGCGAGCAGGUGCGAAAGCAGGUCAUAGUGAUCCGGUGGUUCUGAAUGGAAGGGCCAUCGCUCAACGGAUAAAAGGUACUCCGGGGAUAACAGGCUGAUACCGCCCAAGAGUUCAUAUCGACGGCGGUGUUUGGCACCUCGAUGUCGGCUCAUCACAUCCUGGGGCUGAAGUAGGUCCCAAGGGUAUGGCUGUUCGCCAUUUAAAGUGGUACGCGAGCUGGGUUUAGAACGUCGUGAGACAGUUCGGUCCCUAUCUGCCGUGGGCGCUGGAGAACUGAGGGGGGCUGCUCCUAGUACGAGAGGACCGGAGUGGACGCAUCACUGGUGUUCGGGUUGUCAUGCCAAUGGCACUGCCCGGUAGCUAAAUGCGGAAGAGAUAAGUGCUGAAAGCAUCUAAGCACGAAACUUGCCCCGAGAUGAGUUCUCCCUGACUCCUUGAGAGUCCUGAAGGAACGUUGAAGACGACGACGUU
rnacentral:rRNA from 1 species